AGCAGCCGCGGUAAUUCCAGCUCCAAUAGCGUAUAUUAAAGUUGUUGCAGUUAAAAAGCUCGUAGUUGAAUUUCGGGGUUAGCAGGUCGGUCGUGCCAUCGGUAUGAACUGGUCUCGCUGAUCCCUCCCUCUUGACGAACUGUGAUGCCAUUAAUUUGGUGUCGCAGGGAAUCAGGACUGUUACUUUGAAAAAUUAGAGUGUUUAAAGCAGGCUCACGCUUGAAUACAUUAGCAUGGAAUAAUGAAAUAGGACGUUUGAUCCUAUUUUGUUGGCUUCUAGGAUUGACGUAAUGAUUAAUAGGGAUAGUUGGGGGCAUUAGUAUUCAAUUGUCAGAGGUGAAAUUCUUGGAUUUAUUGAAGACUAACUACUGCGAAAGCAUUUGCCAAGGAUGUUUUCAUUAAUCAAGAACGAAAGUUAGGGGGUCGAAGACGAUCAGAUACCGUCGUAGUCUUAACCAUAAACUAUGCCGACUAGGGAUCGGAUGAUGUUAAUUUUUAAUGA
rnacentral:rRNA from 1 species